UGCGCAGGCGGUUUUAUAAGCCAGAUGUGAAAGCCCCGGGCUCAACCUGGGAAUGGCAUUUGGGACUGUAAGGCUGGAGUAUGGCAGAGGAGACUAGAAUUCCUGGUGUAGCAGUGAAAUGCGUAGAUAUCAGGAGGAAUACCGAUGGCGAAGGCAGGUCCCUGGGCCAAUACUGACGCUCAUGCACGAAAGCGUGGGGAGCAAACAGGAUUAGAUACCCUGGUAGUCCACGCCCUAAACGAUGUCAACUGGUUGUUGGGGGAUUUAUUCUCUUAGUAACGAAGCUAACGCGUGAAGUUGACCGCCUGGGGAGUACGGUCGCAAGAUUAAA
rnacentral:rRNA from 1 species